GCCUGGUUGGCUCAGUUGGUAGAGCACAUGACUCCUAAUAUCAGGGUCGUGAAUUCAAGCCCCACACUGGGUG
rnacentral:tRNA from 1 species